CUCCCUGAGAUUAGCGGCGGACGGGUGAGUAACACGUGGGCAACCUGCCUAUAAGACUGGGAUAACUUCGGGAAACCGGAGCUAAUACCGGAUACGUUCUUUUCUCGCAUGAGAGAAGAUGGAAAGACGGUUUACGCUGUCACUUAUAGAUGGGCCCGCGGCGCAUUAGCUAGUUGGUGAGGUAAUGGCUCACCAAGGCGACGAUGCGUAGCCGACCUGAGAGGGUGAUCGGCCACACUGGGACUGAGACACGGCCCAGACUCCUACGGGAGGCAGCAGUAGGGAAUCUUCCGCAAUGGACGAAAGUCUGACGGAGCAACGCCGCGUGAACGAAGAAGGCCUUCGGGUCGUAAAGUUCUGUUGUUAGGGAAGAACAAGUACCAGAGUAACUGCUGGUACCUUGACGGUACCUAACCAGAAAGCCACGGCUAACUACGUGCCAGCAGCCGCGGUAAUACGUAGGUGGCAAGCGUUGUCCGGAAUUAUUGGGCGUAAAGCGCGCGCAGGUGGUUCCUUAAGUCUGAUGUGAAAGCCCACGGCUCAACCGUGGAGGGUCAUUGGAAACUGGGGAACUUGAGUGCAGAAGAGGAAAGUGGAAUUCCAAGUGUAGCGGUGAAAUGCGUAGAGAUUUGGAGGAACACCAGUGGCGA
rnacentral:rRNA from 1 species